CCAGACUCUACCCUUUCGGUUGUAGUUCAACCACCAAGCUGCUGGAGUAGGGCCAAAGCAGGCCUGGGAAAGGGGAACUGCAGCUUCUGGAGUGAGUCAGGUGACAUUGUGGUGCUGCUUCUCAUCUGUCCUCUCCUCUGUUGCCUUUUCCAACCAGUGCUGUAAUGUUCCAAGAGAGGGCUGAUGUGAAGGGAUGAUUAUCUGCAUUUUUUAACCCUCCAACAACUUUAGAAGGAAGAAGUCACAUUUUCAUGGACAGCAGAAGAUAAAACUAGCAAAGGGAUGAAGUGACAAGUAGACUAGUCUAAAAAAGCAACAAAGAAAAAAAGAAAAAA